rnacentral:misc_RNA from 1 species
UUUCCGUAGGUGAACCUGCGGAAGGAUCAUUACUGAGUGAGGGCCCCUCGGGGUCCAACCUCCCACCCGUGUUUAACGAACCUUGUUGCUUCGGCGGGCCCGCCUCACGGCCGCCGGGGGGCAUCUGCCCCCGGGCCCGCGCCCGCCGAAGCCACCUGUGAACGCUGUCUGAAGUAUGCAGUCUGAGACCAUUAUUAAAUUAAUUAAAACUUUCAACAACGGAUCUCUUGGUUCCG